rnacentral:rRNA from 1 species
UACGUAGGGUGCGAGCGUUAAUCGGAAUUACUGGGCGUAAAGCGUGCGCAGGCGGUUCUCCAAGUCCGUUGUGAAAGCCCCGGGCUCAACCUGGGAAUGGCAGUGGAAACUAGGGGACUGGAAUCUGGCAGAGGGGGGUGGAAUGCCGCGUGUAGCAGUGAAAUGCGUAGAGAUGCGGCGGAACACCGAUGGCGAAGGCAGCCCCCCUGGGCUGAGAUUGACGCUCAGGCACGAAAGCGUGGGGAGCAAACAGG